rnacentral:rRNA from 1 species
UACGUAGGGGCAAGCGUUAUCAGGAUUUAUUGGGUUUAAAGGGUGCGUAGGCGGCUUAGUAAGUCAGCGGUGAAAUUUUGCAGCUUAACUGUAACAGUGCCGUUGAUACUGCCAGGCUAGGAUUUGGUUGCUGUGGGUGGAAUGUGUGGUGUAGCGGUGAAAUGCUUAGAUAUCACACAGAAUAUCGAUUGCGAAGGCAGCUCACAAAGCCAAGAUUGACGCUGAGGCACGAAAGUGUGGGGAUCAAACAGGAUUA